ACAGAAGAUAAAUAAAAGUUUCAUUUAUCCACAGAAUAGACUAUUACAGCAGAGUCCCCUGCACCCACACGGCCAGACCAGCUAGCCUCAAUGCUGUUCUAAAGGCACAGUUUUUAGAUGAAGGUUGCAGAUUAAUUUUCAUGGCCCAUUUAGUCCUUGGCCUCU
ensembl:misc_RNA